UUUUAGCCCGGAUAGUAGCGGCAUCCUUGCUGUGGCUUCUUUGGCCACAGUAAGAUAUAGCGGAUAGCCGGAGAUAGC
rnacentral:sRNA from 1 species